GGAGGAGAAGAGAGGAGAAGGGCAACUGGAAACUCCUCUCCCCACCUACCAAAAAAAAAAAAGGCAGGAAGGGAGAGGAAAGUGUUUUAAGUUUCUAGUAAACACUAUUUAGCAAAAGAAUAAUAGGAAAGUUGCCCCUUUCCCAAAGAGGGAAGGCACUAUAAUUGUUGCCUUUAGCGGAGAGCUCAGAUAAACCGCUGGGACUCAUUCUAAAGUGACCCAUCGCUACAUUCAUCUCUUCUUGAACUUUCGGUGAACCUGAGAUUAAACAGGGGUGAGCAGCUAAGCAGUUUGUUGUUAGCAGCCUUUUCAACAACCCUUUCAGACUGAGUAAAUAUUGAUCGGUUUGAAUCUGAUUGCCCCAGAGGAAAACACCAAGGCAUCUGAAUAGCCUCCAAAAGUAAACUUUCAAAGGUGAAGCCGAGAGCAGACUUGAGAGCCAGAUCUCAACUCAGCCUAGGUUGGGGACACCCUGAAUUUCAGGAGGACUUUGAAUGAGUGUGAAGGAAGUGAGGAGAACGCAUUUGAAAACUGGAAUUUUGUCUCGCAAUUAUCCCAAGUCCUUAAUUGAGACUCUUGUCCUUUUUAAAUUUAUCAAUAAAAUGCUAUGUUCUGUGUUCCCGCUUUUGUUGUUUCAGUCACCAUUGCUGUCAUUUUUCAAGGAGCUAACCAUGCUCCUCAGAGACCAAGACAGAAAAAGAGAGACCUAGAAAUAGGAUGUGGUAAGCGCCUUUGAUUUAAUCGAUUGGGACAACUAAAAAGAUACAAAUGUUUUCCUUGUUGAAAGGUAUAUUAAUGUUUCCUAAAUGCAUUGCUUGUUAACUGAUUUAUUCCAUGACCUGGAGAAGGCUUGGGAUGUUUAGCCAUAAUUUAUCGUUCUCCUCUCUCUCAGCUACAUUAAAACCAGCACCUUCAAGAUUGGAAUCUCCAGGAUUCCAGCGGGUCGGGCCCUGCUUUUAGAUAUUGAAAUUACGGCAGUGGCAUGCAAAUGACACUUUAGCACAUUAAAGAAUUUGGAAACCAGCCAUCUGUUUUGCUGUGUGGCCUUACACUAAUAAACAAAAGAUACUGUAUAAGGCCAGGGUGGGAACUGAAAGAAAGAGUUGGCCGACUUUGAAGUUCUCCUCCAUCCACUUGAGUCUUUUAGAGGCAAGCCCAGAGCCCAGGAGCCAAGAGGGGAGGGCAGCGGGUGCCCUUGAUAUGGCCGCAGCAACCGCGCCUGCAAAGUCCAGGCUUGCCCCUUUGACGGGGAAGUACAGGAAAUCUCAUGGGUGCUCUAGGAGGCCUGCAAAUUCCAAGUUUUGUAGGAUUUCUCCUCCCACCCUCAGCCCAUCCUCUGUAAAACACUCUUUGGAGAGGAAGGAAGUCAGAUGCCUGUAUUUGUGAUGCUGUAAAAUUUCUGCUCUACUCUCGGGGCUAAAUGAAAGCUUCUGAAAAUGUGUGAAAGUGAAGGAAAAGUGGUAAGAGGUCUAGGAGGAGAGCCUUUGAUUUGCUGGCUUCCUCUAUUUGAGAGCAGACACCUGCCUCAGUUUGGAAGCAACUUGAAUAUCGGAAGACUUCAUAGAGGCUUCCGCAAGUUCAACUGAAAGAAACUGCUGAGCCCAGAGAAGAAAAUAACAACUUUUUUUUUUUCUGAGUUAUGGGAUUAGAACUAGGUUAUGGAUUUAGAAUUAGAACAGACCCAUUACAGCCACGAUGGCUAUGAAAUCGAAGCUGAAUCUAAUGGGGAUGAGAUGUGUAACCCAGAGGGAGUGGGCAGGAGGACAUGUAGAGAGUGGCAGGNNNNNNNNNNNNNNNNNNNNNNNNNNNNNNNNNNNNNNNNNNNNNNNNNNNNNNNNNNNNNNNNNNNNNNNNNNNNNNNNNNNNNNNNNAAACACAAAAAAAAAAAAAAAAAAAAAAAAAAAAAAAAGAAGAAAGAGGGGUGAGAUGGAGGCCUCACCCUCAAACAGCUUUAUACUGGAGCUAAUUAAAUGUGAAUCUCUUAGCUCUUGGUUCACUGAUGUGAGGAAAGACUGACUGAAGAGUUUGGGCUUUGGAAGGGGGUACUGUUUAUAUAUACGUCAACAUUCAGUUGGAGGUGAAAAGGUUAGCACUUGACCCAGGAAGUAUCCGUGUUUGUUUCAAAAAUAGAUCUGCUUCAUAAAUUUCUUCACCAUUCAUUUUUUCCAGUAUGAACUUGGAUUAUAAUAAAGGAACUGUUGUUAUUUUAAAGAAAAUCAACCUAGUAAGUAGGUAUUAGCUAGGUGCAAUGACACUCAUAGGGGAACUUUCAGCUACAUAAUGAAAAGCAUUUGCUUUUUUUUUUUUUCCAAGAAAAGGCCCACCUCUGAAAAUGCACAGCACCCUUCUCCCCUUCCCCACAUGAAAUGAGCCAACGCUGUUGGAACCAGUAAAUUGUAGCCAAGCCAAAUUCAGGGCCGCGUAAGCAUAUGUGAAACUUGAAUAUAUUUAUUACAGACAUCUUAAGACCCGUAAACUCUGCUCUAGAUCACAUCACUCCAGGAUCUCAGAGCUGUUCAUGAUUGUACAGGAAAUGGGGAAUAUCAUAGGCUCACAAGGAAUAACUGAUAUAACUCAGUGUGGUACUUCAGGGACAUCAAAACAUUGUGCGACAUGCAAAAGACUAUUCACGAAUCACACAAAAUAUACAUUCAUUGUGCCAUCCAUCACAUUAACAAUUGAGCUGAAAAUACAUCAUAUCCAGCUAAGAUAACUGUGGAAGGAAGAAGCUGGUUCGAAUAAUACCUUUAGGUUCUAAAUAAUCCAGCACAAAUUUAAAAAAGAGUGUGCCCAGAGAAACACUAAAUGGGUGGUGAUAGGGGGAGACCCAGCACAGGAAGCAAGGUUUUUGAACCUCGUAUUCCGCAGGCCUUCUUAACUCACUUGAAAGAACACAUGCAGGCUACCCUCUGAGGCAUCUGAUUGAGUUUAAGUGAGCGAUUUUAUUCUUUAACCCAUAACAUAUAAAAUUGUACCAGCUUUGAGAGUUGCCUACCCUGUUUUAGUCACUUAAUCUAAACAUUUCUAGAAAAUCUGUAUAAAGAUAAAUCUCUCAGGACAAAGUAUUUACAACCAGCAAACUCACACACAUGAAACUGAAUUAAAUUAAGGGAUGAAUUAAUUGUGUAAACAAGCUCAUAGUGCCUCUCUUCCUCAUGAGCUCCUGGACUCUCCUCUCUCUCUAUCCUACUUUAAGGGCAAAGUAGGGGAGAACUGUAAAUAUACAGAUAGGUAAAAGAUAGGCCUCCCUCUAACAUGUUUCUGCUGGCAAAGGAGACUAUAUUCCAAAGGACAUCUGAAAGGAACAGACUGUGGAAAUCUCCAAAGUAGGGAGGAGUGUUGGGGACCAUCAGAAAAUUGAUUAUGGCACCCAAUCUGCAUCAAGGAGUUAGCACACACACACACACACACGCACACACACACACCCACACACACACACACACACACACACACACACACCCCAAUCAAGCCUCUACUCCAGGACUCUCUGGAAACACAUUGUCCUGGCCAGGAGCUCCCCAGAUAGGAUCAGAAAGGAAGAGAGAGACUGUAAAUGGAAAGGAAGAUAAGCUAAGAAUGUGCUUUGCGUAAGGAGUCCCCAGCCUGCGGAAUAGCCUGGGCUGCGGAGUCUGGGGCUUGGUUGGCCUCAGUGAGAGGUAGUCAGAGUGUCUGAGGUAGAGGACCCCGGGGAAGGAAUGCAGGGCGAGGAGCUGGACUUCUCUGAAGAUUCUUCGGCCUUCUCCUCACUUCCUGGCGGGGUGGCAGGAGAGAUGGGCAAGAGACCCUCCUUCUCUCGUUUCUUCUGCUUCAUCCGGCGGUUCUGGAACCAGAUCUUCACCUGGGUCUCAUUGAGCUGUAGGGACGCGGCAAUCUCCACCCUGCGGGCACGCGUCAGGUACUUAUUGAAGUGGAACUCCUUUUCCAGCUCAGUGAGCUGCUUCGUGGUGAAGUUGGUGCGCACUGCAUUGGGUUGACCCACGUAGCCAUACUCUCCAACUUUCCCUGGGGGCAUGGUGGGGAGCGAUGAGAGAACAAGGUAAGACUUUUUACAAUCGAUAUGAGAUCCCCUACAAGCUUCAGAUAAAGGGGAGAUCAAGAAUUUCUCAACAGAAACUCAGCUGGGAAUGGUGACUGAUGAGGUGUAAAGUGUUAAUCUGAAGUCAACCAUUAGCAAGGUCAGACCAGUGAUGAAUGGAGCCUGGAGAUAUUAACAGAACCACCCCCACCCCCACACAUCCCUACCCACUUCCUAUUCCAGAACCUCUAAAACUCAGCCCCUUUGGAAACACGACAGCCCCAGAUGUGCCUUUGCCCCAACACACCUGGGCAAUCUGUCCACACCGGACACCAGUGGGAAGCAAGAACUUUUUUUUAAAAAAAAAAAGUAUUAAUUUUCCUUGGCAACUAAACAUACUAGCUCCUUCCAGAACCAUCAAGGAGCAUCCAAGGAAUGGCAAGACUGACCUGUUUUGGGAGGGUUUCUUUUGACUUUCAUCCAGUCAAAGGUCUGUGCUGGAGAAGAUGUCUCUGAUGUAGGGGAGCGACAGGCUUCUUGGUGGCUGGCGUGGAGAGGGGACAAGGAGUUAUUAUACGUGGCCAGGGCCAGGCUCUGGUGCUCUUGUCCAUAUGAGUGGUGAAUGUACUGAGGCGAGCCCACCGCGCCCCCGGCAUAACCCUGGUGGUGGUGGUGAUGCUGGACCAUGGGAGAUGAGAGAUUUCCAGAGUAAACAGCGGGAGCGCACGAGGGGUACCCACCACUUACUUCUGCUUCCUGAUUUAACGCGUAGGGGCUGUAAGGCGCGCCGAAGUUCUGCGCGCCAUAGCUUGGACCACAACUCGAAUGGGAGUAGGACACCCCCAGGUUCCCGGGAGUCUGGUAGGUGGCCGGUUGGGGGUGAUGGUGGUGGUGGUGGUGGUGGUGGUGGGGCGGGCUGAUCUGCACCCCCCUGCCCACUAGGAAGCGGUCGUCGCCGCCACAGCUGUUAGCACUGACCGCGCACGACUGGAAAGUUGUAAUUCCAUGGUCGGAAGGGUAGGCUCGCGCUGAGCAGGUCCCCGAGUCGCCACCGCUGAGGAUGGGGUAUUCCAGGAAGGAGCUCAUUCUUGCAUUGUCCAUCUGUCACUGAGGGACCGGGUCCUGCGAAGCCCUGGGUGACCGUGCCAACUUUCUCACUUCCUCCAUGGGGCCAGAGAAGAAAAAUGAUAUGAAUGUANNNNNNNNNNNNNNNNNNNNNNNNNNNNNNNNNNNNNNNNNNNNNNNNNNNNNNNNNNNNNNNNNNNNNNNNNNNNNNNNNNNNNNNNNNNNNNNNNNNNNNNNNNNNNNNNNNNNNNNNNNNNNNNNNNNNNNNNNNNNNNNNNNNNNNNNNNNNNNNNNNNNNNNNNNNNNNNNNNNNNNNNNNNNNNNNNNNNNNNNNNNNNNNNNNNNNNNNNNNNNNNNNNNNNNNNNNNNNNNNNNNNNNNNNNNNNNNNNNNNNNNNNNNNNNNNNNNNNNNNNNNNNNNNNNNNNNNNNNNNNNNNNNNNNNNNNNNNNNNNNNNNNNNNNNNNNNNNNNNNNNNNNNNNNNNNNNNNNNNNNNNNNNNNNNNNNNNNNNNNNNNNNNNNNNNNNNNNNNNNNNNNNNNNNNNNNNNNNNNNNNNNNNNNNNNNNNNNNNNNNNNNNNNNNNNNNNNNNNNNNNNNNNNNNNNNNNNNNNNNNNNNNNNNNNNNNNNNNNNNNNNNNNNNNNNNNNNNNNNNNNNNNNNNNNNNNNNNNNNNNNNNNNNNNNNNNNNNNNNNNNNNNNNNNNNNNNNNNNNNNNNNNNNNNNNNNNNNNNNNNNNNNNNNNNNNNNNNNNNNNNNNNNNNNNNNNNNNNNNNNNNNNNNNNNNNNNNNNNNNNNNNNNNNNNNNNNNNNNNNNNNNNNNNNNNNNNNNNNNNNNNNNNNNNNNNNNNNNNNNNNNNNNNNNNNNNNNNNNNNNNNNNNNNNNNNNNNNNNNNNNNNNNNNNNNNAAAGGAGAGGGAAGUGCGCAGAGGGUUGGCUGGGAGGAACCCGGCUGGGCGUGGAGGGGACGUGAGCAAGAAAAAAACAAAAAAACACAAAAACCAAAAAAGCCUUCCCUUCCCCAAGGAGGGUCUCUGAACCCUAUUCCCCCACCGCAACUGAUUAUUAACGAGGCAAUGAGGAGCUUUUGUAAUUCGACGCCCGGGAGCGGGUGAUUGGUAGUAGUUAAGGUUGCCGGAAAAGGCCGAGGGUGGCCGGCUCUUCGCCCUCCCUCUUUCCUCGCUCUCCGCCCCUUUCUCCUCCCCACUCAGCUUUGCUCCGGGAGCCCUAUGGGAUCCGGAGCAGCUCGGCCGCUGGAUUUUGAAGGGUAGGAGGCGGGGGAGAAAGAUGACGCUAGCGGACGUGGCCAGCGUGGGGGCCGGGCGGUGCGCUGCAGGCCAUCUGCCGGCUCCCCGGGACCCAGGAGUCUGCGCGCUUCAGCGGGGGCCUCAAAGGGCGAGACCACAGCUCCAACUAAAUACGCUGAACUCCCCCCACCACGCCCCAACAGUGGUGCUUGUUUUCUGGAGGGGGGAUGUUAGGAGUGGUAGGGCUUCCUUUAUCCACUAACCGCCCCCCCCAUUCUACUGCAUGUCUGAAGUGGGGGGUUAGGGGCUGGCAGGUGGGAGGGGCGGUGGACAGAUGGCUGAUGGUGGACGGGACAUUUUCUUCUUCCCCCAACAACACCUCCUCCCCUUUGUAUCUAUGUAGUUCCUUGUGUGAACGUUCAAGUCUUUCUCUAGAGAGACACGUGCAAAUCUGAGCGUCAUCCCAGGCCAGGGGUCCUGUUCUCCAUCACCCUCAUCCUACCCUGAUGCUGACGGGGUCGUUAAUUGCUGUUUACUAUUAGGUUUCGUGUCAACCCUUGGCUUGUAGAGAGAAAAUGCCAAACUGAGACCGAGAAUUGAUGCAUUCUUAGGUAAAAGAAAUCCAGAGAUCAUCCAAGAAGCUUUGCAGCCAAUGCAGUAUAGAUUUUUCUCUGACCCUGCUUAUCACAUCGGAAUGGGACAGAUAAAAUUUAUCUGAGGACGGGGUUCCCACUCCCCUCUAGUUUUCCCUCCCCAGUUAGAAGAAGGAAGUUUUCUUUGAAGCAGGCACAUCAUAAAUGUGUUAGCCAACCUUUCAGGUUUCUGCAUUCUGUUCUUCACAUACAGAAGUUCCCCCACCAAACCUGCCCCCACAAGAGGGGGAACUCUUGCAGACAUUUGACUAUGGAUUCCCCCAGUAGCAAAGACAAUUUUUCCCUAAACAUUUACUUUUGAAAUAGUAUUUUUCUGUGACCUUUGACCCAUCCCCAACCACGGUUAAGAGCGAGCCCAGCCAGGAAAGGUCACUCCUACCCCAAUUUCAGCACCUGGGGACACUCAUUUUCGAGAAGGGAAAAGGAAAGGAGGCCCUCCUGGAGGCGGCUUCCUUGGGAGUGCCAGGCCUCCUGAGAUGGGGAGGGACGCGGCUCCUGUCGGGGAGGCGGUAGGACGUGAGAGUGUCGGUGCUGGCACUGCGGACGAUCUGCUUUCCGAACCAAAGUACGUUCUUUCUCCUUGCCUCAUUCCUGUCCCUUUGUUGGCUUCUUCGGCCCGGGUUUGCGCAACCCCCUCGGCUGCAGGGCUUAGCGCCACAAAGCCGCCCGGGACCGCAACCGUUCUCCUGCCUCUGCUAGUUCUCGGCCUCUGUGCUGCUCUCCUUCCACUUCUCUUCCUCCCUCCGGGCGUCUUUCAGAGCCAGCAUGGGUGGGGGUGUUUUUCUUGGGACCGCUUUCAUGCACUUGCACAGAGGCCCGCAAUCUCUCCGGCAGGCGACAGACCUGCCUCCGCGCGCUGCUCCCGGCUCCCGGAAGGCCGGACUCCCGCAGCAGAGCCUGCUCCGCCCCGGCUGGCCGCCCAGAGCGCUGCUCUCCCGGUGUUACUUACAAAGGCGGUCUCCUCUGGCCUCGAGCCCGCAAGGCUUCCGUAGCUCGGUUCUUCCCCCACCCCCCACGAAAUCCUGGGGCUCGUCCCGCCUUGUAGGAGACUCUUGGUUCUCCAGGCUUGUAGGCCAGCGCCCCACGACUGGAGCUAAAGUCUCUUUAAAUGCUCUGGGAGAGUGGGUGAAAGGAGACCUUGGUCACUGUUUAAAUGAUGGCCUGCAAGCGGCUUGCUGGGCUCAAAGCACCUCUUUCAGGGCUCUUCUACUAGAAAGGGAAGGAGCGAGGAGGAGACAAACGCCGCCGAGGCCCCGAGCUGCUCAUGGCAUCCGCGGCUCAGCCAAGCUGUUGUUUUAAAAGAGCAAUAAAAAUGAAUUAUGACUAAACGCCUUCUAACUUAAUGCUUUCGGACGGGGAUCCCCGGCAAAUACGUAAGAGGAUUUUUAUUUGUGCAUGUGUUCCUGCAAUUGAUCUCUUUGAUGACAUUCUCAUUCAUAGAAAGCGUUUGAUUUAUGAGCGUAGGACGAAUCGCAAACAGCAGCGGCUCAGCCCCGGCUGCGGCCGGGCUGCCCUGCUCAGCUCCGCGCCUGGGGCUGGAGACCCGCCGGGGUCCUCACACGCCUCCGCCGCUGCCAGGAUGUAGGGGGCAAAAGGGUGAAGGAAGAUAGGGUGCAAACCCAUGGAGAAAGAGCGCGAUUUCAUUGUAACUUCCAAGCCUUAACUAUUAAGAGCCGGGUUCCUGAAUCAACCCGCCCCCCACACAUGUUGCUUACACACUGCGUUUUCUCACGGUAAGUAGCCAUCACAACAGAGCUCAGUAAGGAAAAAAUCAGCAUGGGGAGAUAUAAGAAGGGAGGGGGGGGGGAGCAAGACAGCCCAGGAACGUGCCCUAGAUUACAUUUUAUUGAUAUUUCAUUUAAAGUGCUUUUUCUCUUUCUCUCUCUAGAAACUGGGUUAAUUUAUAACCUAGGGCGCAGAAACUCUCCAUUUUAAAUCUCAACUUGGUAACCUGGCUUCAAAGCUUUAAUGAUCCAUUAUUUGCCAUGUAAACAGAUUUAAGAAUGAAAUAUUGAUUUUUCUGACCCUGAAAAAAAGAAUCCUAGAAUGACUGGACCAGAGGAUUGGAAAGAACGCUUUCUGAAGUGCAUUUUCCAGCUAGUAACCAUGUUUUGUUUUAUUUUUGUUUUCUCUACCUUUUAGGUCUGUUUGCCUGGACCCAUCAACAUCUGGGAGACUAAUCAACCACACUGAAAAUGUUUCCGGGGGAUUGUGGGGGAGGGGGUUGGAAUGUAGAUGUUUGAAACAAAUGUGUAUAAAUAAAUGAAUUGUUGAUAACUUAGUUAUUGACCUGGAGACUGGUAGCUUGUUAAAGAAACUCCAUGUUCCUUCUUCCUGGAGUUGGGCGGUUUCUGUAGGCACUUUUAUUUCUCCACUUUCAAAAGCUUGGGCUUGGCCCAACUGUGAGGCUGCCCAAUCCUGUUUCUAUUACCAAUUUAAAUCUAUGGCUUGAACCUCUACACUGAAAAACCAAAUCCAUUCCCUUUAAAAAGAGAGGAAAAAAAAAAAACAUUUCUCAGAAGUCCUAUGUUCUGGCUUUCUUUUUUGUUAUUGACUACUGAAGACUUUGAACAUGCCCCCUUAAUAAAUAUAUUAAAAUUGAAAAAGAAGAUGAAUUGUGACCAGAAUUUUAUUUACCAAGUUAGACUAAAAGAAGAAAAAGAAACCGUUAUGAGCCUUGAGAAAGAGGGGGGAGAAAAAAUAAGAAAGCUACUUAUAGCAAAGGAGAAUUUAUUCUACCAAAAAUACUCAUGACAAUGCAUCCUAAUGUAAUACAAAAAUAAAAAGAAAGUGAAGAUACAAUUAUAUGAUCACUUUCUUGCAGGCCUCAUAUAUUGCUUUCAGGAAAUCACAUAGAGGGGUGUUGGAUUAGAUUUAGAACAACUAAAACUCCAAAAUAACCUGUAAAAGAUGGCUCUGAAACUGGACCAGGAGAAUCACUAAACAGAAAAUCUUCCACAUAUAGAGGAGAGAGAGGGUAGGUCAGGAAGAAAAGAAAAUAAAAAUCAACUCUCAGAAUAAAAGAAGGCAAAAGCACCUGGUCAAAGGGGUUUUUGUUUUGUGAUGCUUUGUUUUGCUUUAAUGUUUUUAGUAAUUCAGAUGCUGCAAGUCGAUUGUGGUGAGUGUGUCUGUAAAAAAGUCAAAGCUGUCAGCUGAAAUAUCUACGGGACUGUCGAGGGAACCUGGCAAACUGGGCGAGACUGCAUCUGAAAGCUGCAGGCAGGAAUCUGUGGAAAAAACGUUAAAGUCCUGCAAAGAGGGGACCUCGAGGGCCUCGGGACUGUCAUUGUUUAGGCCUGAGCCACAGUUCUGGCCCAUUGUUGACAAGCAGUUAGAAACAGUGGGUGACUGGUGCUGAAAAUGUUUCAGAUUUUUCUCAUUGCUGGUUAAAGGCGAAACUGGGAAACUUUGGGAGUCGCCAUUGUGUCCAUUGGGAGCCUGCUGCUGAGAGAGGGCAUUUUGCUGAAAAGUGUAACCUUCCCUCUCCAGAAGGGCCCCGGAGACGCUCAGGGCUUGCUCAAAGAGCGACUUCUCUUCCUCGUCCUCCUCCACUUUCUCAGAGUCCUCGAGGCUUUUAAAUUUCCCCUCGCUGUUGUGGUUCUCCUUGCACUGGGUCUGCCUCUUGUGCUUCAUCCUCCGGUUCUGAAACCACACUUUCACUUGUCUCUCAGUCAGAUCCAGCAGCGCUGCGAUUUCCACCCUUCGGGGUCUGCAAAGGUACUUGUUGAAAUGAAAUUCUUUCUCCAGCUCUAAAAGCUGCGUGUUGGUGUAAGCAGUUCUCAGGCGUCGGGAGCCCCCGCCGCUGCCAUCGGCGAUUUCCAGGGAUUCUGCGGAAAGGGAAACCAACAAGAGACACGCGCACAGUUGGAGGUGGAGGGGUCCGAGCGGGGUUAUUCCACUGGAGAAUAAAUAUAGCAGAAAAGAUCAACUGCAACAAAAUGGCCGCCCCUGGAUGCAGUGGAGCUAUUGUGCUGCCUUUCCUGGGAGCCCAGCCCGGGGAGACCCCAUCUCUUUCCACCUCCACCAGAUUCCUGCCUGUGGCUCCCCCCAACCUCUCCAUCCGGGAGCAAACUUUAUAUUAGCCACACCACAAUUUAUAAUUAAUGCAUCAGCUGCUUAGCUGAGCAAGAGCGAUCUAUCACUCUUCAUUACUGUCAAAAAGCCAAACUCUAGGACAACUAGACAAGAGGAGGUCAGUUCCAACUCAAAUAAAUCAUCCCACAUUACACAAGUUAGGGAAAGUUUCCCCCCCCCCUUCUUAAAAAUAUAUAUAUGUCUCAUUGUGCAGCGCAGGAUCCCUUUUCUCUCCAUCACACCCACUCCUGAGCCCACAGGGGAAGGGAAGGCAGCCAAGCAUCUCUCCCUCUCUCCCCCUUCUCUCCCAGCCCACGCUCCCCUCCCCCAUAACCGCUCCCCGGGCAGCCCCGAAGGAGCAGAGGGUCCCGGGACCUGGGGCCAAGUCUUUGGACUGACCUUUGUGGCUGAGGCAGGCAGGGCCGGUGGCGGCGGCGGCGGCGGCGGCGGCCGAGGCGGGCGGCAGCGCGGUUUUCUUGGCCGCCUUCUUCUCCUUCAUCCAGGGGUAUUCGGGCGGCUGCAGGGCGCCGGCGGGCACUGGGCUGCCGCGGCUGCCCGCGGGGCUCGGCUUGGGGCGGCCGCCAGCGCCGUGGCGAGGGUGACUGCCCGGGUUCAGGCUGGGAAUGGUCUGCUCAAAAGGAGGAGGAAUCAGUGUCGAGUGUGAAAGCGUCGAGGUCUUGAUUGAUGAACUUUGAAAUGUAUCAGCGACAGGGGGAAAAGAUGUCAGGCACUCAGCGAGCGACGGCUGGCUAUUGAUAAAACCAAUCUCUCGCUCAAAUUCGUAAUUCAUGGCCUUCUCCUUGGAGCCCCCUCGGAGAAAAAGUUCCCUCUUCUGGAGGGGCUUUGGGGGGGCAAGGCCCGGGAAAAAGGCGAGAGCAGAGGAAAAAAAAAAUCUAUCAUAGAAGAUCGCUGCUGGGGUGUUUUUUUUCUAAUUCACUGAUUACAGCCGUAUGGGGACCGCGCUACUAUUAAACUAUUGAAUUCAUGGAGACAAGGUUGAAAUUGGACCGAAUUGGCUGUCACAUGAUUGCUUCUGCCCAAUGACAAUUUGGGCUUUAAUCAAAAGAAGCCACUGUCUGUUUGAUUGAUCCAAAAAAGUCGGGAAGGAACGCCUCAUUGGGGGCCAGCGAGGCUUUAUUUACACUUUUUUCAGGGCAAAAAUACAUAUAUGUGGGUGUGGGUGGGGAUGCCCGGGAGUGCGUGGGGGCGAGGGUGCCUGCCUGCCUCCUGAUCAGCACAGAACCUGUGUGUGCGCUUGGGAGUGUGUGUGAGUGUGUGAGUGUGUGCGAGUGUGAGCCCUGCUGCCGGGCCCGCCGGCGGCUGCCCUCUAACUCCCCCGCACACUCCGCGCAUUGUUUGGGACUGUCGGGAAGACGCCUCGCACCUCACAAAUCAUCUAAGCACCUCAGUCUGACGCCUGCAGUCAUUAACAAAGUAAUCCAUUAAUCUUCAAAGUUUUGACACCCGAGAGCCCCGCAUCCCAGCCACAUAAGUUCUGCUAAGGCAGGAGGAAGGAGCAGAGGGAGAGGGGAGAUGAGACUGGGAGAAGAAAGAGAGAGGGAAGGAGGGAGGGAGGGAGAGAGACAGACAGAGACAGACAGACAGAGAGAGAAGACACAGAAAAGAGAGGAUUCAUUUUGGGGUCUCCCCUCUUUUAUUUCCAUUUUCCUCUGCCUUUUCUAAAACCAGUUACUGGAUCUCAGAAGUGAUUCCUGUUUUCCUUCCUCUCUUUCCUUCCCUCUUUUCCUCUUCCCCCCUGUCCCCUUCCCGCUCUCCUCUGUCCACCUCUCUUUCCCCAAACCCCUCCCGCAUGCCCUCGCCCCCCUCCCAAAGCCCAGCUCGGAGUCUGCGCCCCCCCCCUCGCCGGACCCGGACCCCGGCCCAUUGUUAGCCGGCUUUUCCAAGGCAGCUAUGCAUCUGGCUCCAGAGGGAAGCGGAAGACGGGGAGGCGGCUCUCGAAGCUUCCCAACCUUCCGGUGCCAUCAACUUUUCAGGAGUGGCUCGAGAAAGAUAGAUGCAUGUGCCAAGCAAGACAACAACCCCAGGUUCAUGUGUCCAAAUCUCUGUAGCCAGGGCGGCGACCAACCAAAGCAAUGCCACCCGGAGCAGGCUCCUGCGGCUCCUGGCAUUCUGGGUUUCAUACCCGUAGGGCUCGGGUGCGGUGAGUAUUUCUGAUUUCCAGGAAGUCUGUUGGAAGUUAGCAGCAGGGAAGGAGAAGACGCUUAUUCCUCUCUCUCUUUCUCUUUCUUUCUCUUUCCCUCUCCUUCUUCUCCUGGUCCUUGUCGCUCUGAUUGGGGGCUUGUUGGUUCAGAUGCAAUUCGUGUUCCCUGGCAGCCCAAAUUGUCUCCCGCACCUUUCCGCUCCUUGGCCACCAGGGAUGUUUGCACUCAGGUUCUGUUGUGGGAAACAGCAUCGCAGGUGAGAGAGGGCAACCUCAGGAGGAAUUAUAAAUGUUCUCUUUUCUCUGCUCACUCUCUCUUUUUUCCAAUUCGGAGACUUGAGACUGAGGGCAUCGUGGACCGUGCUGGAGGGUUCAAAAGAUAACACCUUUAGGUACCAAACAAUAACUUUUUAAAAAUCCACCAAGCCAGAAAGAGGGGAGGAGGCUGAGAGAGAAAUCUGAAGGUAUCUCUUUUCCCUCAAACCCUGAGGAUGAUGAUUCGCUUUUGCUUCCUUUGAAAUGGACCAAGUGAUCAGACUCCCCCAGGCCGGCAGGCAUCCGUGGCAGGAAAAUAAAUCAUUCUGAUGGCCAGGGAGAGAGAGGUUGGUGGGGGAGAAAAAUCUACGUAGAAAACAAGAAAGGCCGACCGCAGCACAAGGCUAGGACUCCUUCUCUAAGGCCGGCAUCAAAGGGGGCUUGGGUUGGAAAUUACAUAUAAAGUGGCCUCCAUCAUUGACUGGCCCACAGCAUUGCCUUACAGAUAGAGAUGCUAUUUUGGAAAAUGUGAGGUUUUUCAGUUUUCUUGCUUUUAUUCCAAACAAAGCUCUGAAGGAAGUCUGGGCGCGAUCAAUCUUGCUCACCAAAAGCCUUGACAGCUUCUGGCCCUUAAGAACACAUUUCAGCUUCGAGCUCUUUCCAAGAUCAAAUGUGGCCGAGCAAAGAGGAGAGCAGGAAACGCAAGUAAACAAGGAAAACUAGUCUUUUAAAAUAUAUCUUUCUGGCAGCAGAAAGAGUUAUAAGGCUGCUUUUAGGAAAGGUGCUUUGCAGAUUCUGGGAUAGCGGCUUUUGCCAUUUGCUUUUACCAGAAAUAAUAUUGAGGGGUUAAGGGGAGGGGGAGCUACGGAGAGAGAGCAGCGCUGCCCCCAUAUCGCUGAGGCUUUGUCAGGGGCUGCGUGGGUGAGAGCUUUCUGCUCGCCUCAGCGGCCUUAAUUCAAACACCAUCUGGAAGCAAACCCUUUUCUUUGACCAUUCAACACUGAAAUCUUCCCCAAAUCUAUUGCUUUAACCCAGGAAUCUUUUAAUAAGGACUUAUUUUUAAUAUCUUGGAAGCUGGAGGUGAGAUCAAUAUUUUUUCUUUGAAACCCAAAACGAAUGUUUUGAUUGCCAAGAUAUGGGAAAUCAUGUUGGAAUUUCAUUUAAAAAUCUGUGUCCUGAGGGAGGAAGGAUGCCUCCAAACCAGUUGCCUCUCAGCUAAAUAGCAGAUUUUGGAAACGGGUUCAAAUAGUGAUAUCCCUGAAAGAUUUCCCUCUCUGAAUGGAUAGAGCUCCCUGGCUCUCUCUCUCUCUCUCUCUGUCUCUCUCUCUUUCUCCACUGUUCCUUAUUUUACUAGGUAAUUUUAUACACUUCUCUAAAAUUAUUACUCAUAAGACUUCCGUGUUGCUUAGCCUGCUCAGUUCAGAUCUGAACAACUAAAAGAGCAGACGCUCCAGUCCUCACAAAGACUGGUUUUCCAGACUCUGCAUUUCUGAGGUGCGCCAUAUUUCGGCAGGGAGGUUGGGGUGGGGUGGGGAGUAGAUCUACUCCUUCUGUAACCCAAACUCUUUCAAAAAUGAAAAAAAAAUAUGUGUAUCAGGAGCCCCUGAACAGAUAGGGGAGAAGCAUCUCUGGCUGUGAGAGAAAAACUCAGAUCUCUACAGCUACCUGGCUUUAUACCUUCAGAGCCUUUUUCUUUUUCUUAAAAUGUGAAAAGGUCCCCUAAAAGCAGCUCCUGUGGACCCAGGAGAUACCCAAAAAUGGCUCCAGUGCCCGUUUCUAAAGAUCAGCUGAGGGAGCUUCUCAGGGGAAAGAUAGUGGCCAUGAUGAUGGAUAUUUUGGAUUGCAAACAAAAUGGCGACAUUUUUCACCUCCGUCUCUGAAAGAUACAAUCCAGGGAGAAGGAGGAUUUAUUUCUCACAUCAGAUGCUUCUGAUCCCCAGACGCAGGUGGUUCCUUGCUUCCAAUUUAGAAAGGGGAUGUUGAUGGGGAUACAGUUCUGAGGCUUACACUUUCUGAAUUUGGUUCCUUCUCCAAGCAGUUCUUUAAUCUGAAGAUGAAAAUAUUUCCCUUUCCUGUGCCUGCUUUUGCCUCUGCCAGCAAAGUAGUAGUAAAUCCAGGAGUAGAAAUGUAACAUUUAGCUCCUGUAGCAUCAUGAGAAAGAAAUACUUAUAAAAUUGCAUUUUUAUUAGAAAGAUGCCAAUCUCCCUUAUCUCCCCUCCUCCCCCUGGGGCCACAGAAGGAGAACGAGGAGGGAUGAAGGAGAGGAAAUAAAUCCAGAGAAUGCCAGAUCCCAAAUUCCAGGAUGAAGCCAAAGCUGGGACUCAAACAGUCCAGGGAAGGGCUCGGGGAGGCUCCUGGGAGUUCAGCCUUUCUUUUCUUCUGCCGGAGACCUGGGUGAGGCUGUCCGGUUCGAGCCUCCUAGCUCCCCGUGGCGAUUUUAGGAGUGAUUCUUUCCUCCUAGUGCGAUAUAGGACCGAAAAGCAUCUACUGAGAGUCCGGUUGCUCGAGAAAAUGCUCGCCAUCCUCCGCGCGGCUGGCGAUUCCCAGGGUUAAGGCAUUGACUGGUCCUCUUCGACCUAGAGGAAGAUCUUGGAGAAGAACGCCCUGCCUUACUCCCCAGCGGGGCCUCUCGGGCACCUGUGCGUCCCCGCCGCGCUUCGGCCCGCGGCCUUUUGUUUCUCCCGCACUCUGCACUCACGCAGCUUCUGCGCCUGCGGCUGGCCCCUCCGUGGCAGCUGGGAAUCAGGCUGCCCAGCGGGCUGGCGUUCGGCGGUUUGCAAAGCUGCCCGCCUCCGGGAGCUCCUACAGCCUUCGGAGAAUUCGCUGCGCUCCCGGGCGAGCCGCCCGGCCAGGCCCCACUCCGGAGCUAGAGGGCUUGCCGCGGCCUGCUCAAGCCAGUUCGCCUCUGCCUGAAUUCCACGCAGACCCCCGUCUUCGGCCAAAGAACCCCUUCUGAACACGGAUAUUAUUCAGAAUAAAAACUUUAUUUAUUUUUUUUUGUUUAGUUUCUCAGAAUGUGAGCAGCAAGGAAUGUAGAACUCUCGAAACAAAUCUAGCAUUUUUCACGUUUACAGAUUGUUUUUUUUUUUUUUUUUCAGUUUGGCCGGAUGUUACAAACCUAAAUCAGUCUUUUCAAAAGCUGGAUCCUCUCUGGUAUUAUUGCAUCAUUACCGUUUUUAUAAAGGAAUUAUAUUUCCCUUUCAAAUAAAAAAUUUUUCUAUGUACGCCAAUACACUAUUGAACAAAAGGCCCAAGAAACCUUCUGAACAAUCAGGGUACAGAAUUUCUUUAAUAUAAAUACGAACGGAUGGGGAUAAAUAAUAUUUAAAACUUAGAUUAUUCAAUGCUUGCAAAAAAAAUAUAAAUAAAUCUGACUGUUCACCAGCAUACACACACGGAAAGACGUACACUUAGUCGUCCUUGCACAGGGAGCCCCUGUUUCAAAGCGCCUUUGAUUUUUUUCUCGCUCUUUACAAGAAGUGCAAUUUAAAAAAAAUCUAAAAGUUAAAAAAAAAAAGUAAUUGCUUCCCCUCGGGAGCCAUAAUGUACGAACAAAUUCACAUUGAAGAACUCGGCUAGAAAAUUUGUUCAUAUACCCUGUUUCUGAUCAAAGAGUAGAGAAAGUAAAGGGUGCAGGGCCAGCGGCCGAGCGAGGGGGUAGGAGGAGAUAAACAUCGCUACUGAUACUGACAGCCAUUCCAGCAACCAAGAUUGCUACGUCACAUAAACUAUAAAAACGCGUUACCAAAGAAAACAAAACGAGGGGGAGGGGAAGGUAGAAGGGGCGGAGAACAGAAAAGAGAGGACAGGAAGAAUCUUAAAACAAAACAAAACAAAACAGGGAAACGACGAAGAAAGGUGGGGGCGGGGGGGGGGGACUCUCCUGGCGCGCAGCCCCGAGCCCACCAUCACAGGUGGGUGAGCUUGGGGGCUUCCUGAAUUCUUCCCUGAGAAGGAUGGUGGGCGGUAAGGUCCGUGUAGGUGGGGUGAGGCUCCCCUGGCCCGGGCCCGUGAUGGUGGCCGCUGCCCAGUGGCCCAGCACCCCCGUAGUCCAUGGCUGCCGAGGCGGCGUGGGGGAGGUGAGUUAGGCCAAAGAGGGCAGGCCCAGAGUUGCUCAUGGGCUCCACAUAGCUGCCCCCCACGAAGACGGGGCUUCCCUGUAAGUGUGGGGUCCCAUAGCUGCCGUUGCCCUGCAGGCCAUGAGCGUGCGGGUCAUAGUCGGGUGUGCCCCCUGCCCCCGCCGCGGUGUAGCGCUUCUGUGGGGGCGGUGGGGGCGCGCAGCUUGGCAGGGGUGCGGGGUAGGAGGCGGGGGGCAGCCCAUAGGCACCCUGGGGAGGCUUGGAGAAAGGCGGGGGCGACUGGGGCUCGUAUGGGACGCUGUUGACCAGCGAAUGCAUAGAGUUCAGAUAGCCGCCCGCGCCGGGGGGCACCGGGCUACGACUUGGGGACUGGCCCCCUGAUGACGUCAGCAUGCCCUUGCCCUUCUGAUCCUUCUUGUACUUCAUGCGGCGAUUCUGGAACCAGAUCUUGAUCUGGCGCUCUGUGAGGUUCAGCAGGUUGGCCAUCUCUACCCGGCGCGGCCGGCACAGGUAGCGGUUGAAGUGGAAUUCCUUCUCCAGCUCCACCAGCUGCGCGCUCGUGUAGGCGGUGCGCGCCCGUUUGGACGACGCCUGCCCAGGCGGACUCUUGUCGCCAGCGCAGCUCUCCCCUGCGAGGACAGAGGAGAGAGGAAGAGUGGCGUCAGGGGCUGCCCGAGGCCCCGCCUAGCCCCUGAACCCGCCAGGCCCCUCCUCACUCCAGGGCCCAAGAUCCCUCGGUCUGUCAGGGCCCAGAAGGGGGGGAGGAGGAACUAGGUGCUGUCCUCUGUCCUGGAGGGGAAAUAGUGCCAGCAGCUGGGUAGCCAGCCCCUCAUUCAGUUAAGGUGCAAAUCACAGGCUUCCCUAAGGGCAAGAGAUAGGAAAGCAGAACCCCCAGUUUGCCUUCCUGAUCUGUAUUUCCUUCCUGGAGCUAUUCACUUUCUGAAUCAUGUAGUCAUUCAGGCCUAUCAGACUACAAGCUCCCUAUGGGCAGGUCUCCCAUCUUCAUUCCCUUCACAGUAACUGGGAUGUGGGGCACCUAUUAUACACUCAAUAAACCUUUCUCUCUUUCACUGUCUGAUGGAAGGAUUGCACAGUUGCCUCAACUGGCCACUUAUUUGGUCUACCCAGUGGAGACAGGUGGAGGGGAAGCCCCAAUCUGGAAGGCCUUCUGUGCCCAAAGGAAGAGAUCACAUUGAAAGUACCAAUUUCUGGUGGGGAGGCCCAGGCCCCUGGUGGGGUCCCUUUAAAGCGUUCUUCAUGUUAUCAAGCUGCCUCCCCAAUUUAAUCCACUAAUCUUGUACCCUCCUAUCCUCCCCUUCGCCCUACCCCCACCUUGGUUCUGCAGGGUCCCAGAUGCUCAGGCUCAGAGCAGAGUACUGGGAACUGGAGAAGGCAGGGGGAAAGGUAACCAAGAUGCUGGGAAGCCUAAGACCCAGGCCCUGUCCUGUAGUCUAGUUUCUGGUAGGCCCAAGUGGUUCCUAUUAGCAUGACAAGUCCAAAUCCGCACCCCCAGGAGAUCCCUGGCUGCCUUCAUUGUACUAAAUCUGAGUAGGGCCUUCCCAGAGGUAAGGCAGCCACUCCAUCUACUGGAGCAAAAAUUAAAAAUAGGCUCUGUUUAUAGGCAAAGCAUUGAUUCUGACUUGGAUGGUGACUAGGCCUGCUUUUAUUCUACCACAUUUCAGUGUGGGAUGGAUGUCACUGUUCCACUAGAAAGGAGUUAUGCUAAAAAGAGAGUGUGGAGCUCAGGUUUGCUAUGCCCAAAGGUCCUAACUCCUAGAGUGUAACAAGAAAGGGUUCCAAACUCACUAGGCCCCACUUGCUCUUGAGGAAGUCAAGAAAGACUCUCAUCAGGUCUGUCUGGGGGUUUCCUGGACACAGAGUCCUGUCACCCCCCUAGUUGAAGGAGAAGGAGCUGUUCUUGAAAAUGUUCCAGCGCUCCCAGACUGUGACUGGAGGUAGCUUGGGGGGCCGGGAGCCAGGCCAGGGGACCCCUCCUCUAGAAGGUACGGCUUUACCUGAGCUGGAGCCGCUGGUUUUCUGCUUUGUGUUUUGCCGAGACUCUUUCAUCCAGGGGAAGAUUUGUUUGGCCACGGUGGGUGAGUUGAGUAGGGGGCUCUUGGCUGCGCUGGCAGGCGUGGGGUUGCUGCUGGCAUUCUGAGGUGGGGAAACUGAAGAGGGGGGUGGGGGCGCGGCAGGAGCGGGUGCUGGGGGCUGUGGCGGGGGUUGAGGCUGCUGUGGAGCAGGGGGCGCGGCCUGGGGGGGCGGCGGGGCCAGGGGGGGCUCGCCGAGGCCUGGGGGUUGGCUGGGCGGGCCACUCAGGGUGCGCAGACACGCCUCGCUCAGCUCGUGCGCCUUGGGGUGGCCCCCGGCGCUGGCGGGCGACUGGAGUGAACAGGCAGGUCGGUGGUACUCGCCAUCAGUGCCCAGUGCGGAGGACGCCGGAUACGGCUGCUGAUUGGCAUUAUAAGCGAACCCGUUGGCUGCCUGGUAGGGGUAGCCACCGUAGAUCGCCGAACUGUCGUAGUAGGUCGCUUUUUGCAUCGCGUUGUCUCACAAUCUUGAUCGCACACUCUGACAGGGGCUUGACACCCUUGAGGGCGCACAUUGGCACGCCCCCGCGGUCACGUGAUACUCCGCCGCCAAUGGCUGCCCCGCGCAGACCUGGGGGGCGAGAAUCGCAGCGCGGUGAGGGCUCCGCGCAAAUCCAUCUUACUCUCAAUAGCUAAGUGACAUGAAAGCCAUAAAAGAAAAAGUGGUCAGCAAUAUUUAGCAGCACGACUUGGCCCCGGGCGCAGAGAGCCGCGCUAUAAAAAGCCGCUGGAAUUUACUGGCAGCUACAAAUAUUUGCUUAACUUGCGUCUGGAGUUAGGGGGUUUUCCGGGGAGAGAGGAGGAGAGUAAGUGAGGGCUGGAAGCCGGGGCUCCAGAACCGGAGUCCUAAAGAAGAAAGGUUGAUGGGCUAGAAAGGAACAGGGCUGGGAUUCUUCUUUUCCAGGAGAGAAGAAACUUGGGGUGUCCCUUCGUCUCUGCUCUUUGGCCUUGUCCAGCGAGCCCUGCGACUCCUUCCCUCUCAGGAUCAUGGGGAAGGGGGCAAGGAGGCAAAGGAGAGCUUAGGUUGCCAAUUUGUUCUCCAAUCCUCGCUUUAGGACUAAUAUUUGGCAAAAGAGCCCUGAUGCGGGGUGACUUCCCAUCGAGCCCCUUCUUGGAUCUUUCAGCACCCAAGACAGGUAUGCACAAAACAUUUUCAGGCAAUUGCCCUACUACCCCGCUGGAUUUCAGAAGCUGAGCUUGUUGGGCAGUUAAUCUACCCUUGGGCAGGGGAUAUGACCUACCUCCUCCAAAUGAGCCCCUUGUAGCCAAGAAGGGAAGAGAAAAAACUUUGGAGGGAACAUCCUGCGUGGGAAAGGACCAACAACAACACUUGCUCCAGCAAGUCAAACUCAAAUCCUGGACAGUUCUUUACGCCUUUCCUCUCCCUAUUUCUCAGGCUUGACCCAGCAAGCCACUCCCACCUCUUCUCCCCUGUUACAGAAGGUCCCCAGACCCUCCUGCCUUGGACUUUCUGAGGUGCUGUUAUUCAGGAUAACUAUCAAAUUCUACCUGUUAAAACAUGAUGGAUUAGAGAAAAAAACAACCCACCAGGAACCUGAAAAACCAGCGUUCAUCUCCAUGACCACGGCUUGAACUCUCCCUCCAACUUAACGAUAAUAGGUUCUGUCUUAGAAACUGCUAUGUAAUUUGAUGUAUGGGGGUCAUUUGGCUCCGGACGAGGGAUGGAAGCACAAGCCAUAAAAUCCUGCCAGAGUGCCCUGAUCUUUGUGUGCUCUUGUUGUUGAUGUUUGUUACUUGGCCUAUUUACCUGCUUCAGAAACACCAAGUAAAGGUCAAGACUGGAAAUCUUAAAAGCAAAUGAAAGCCUUCUCAACCCCUUAUUUAAAAAAAUAUUAUUUAGAAAGCAGUUUGCAGAAGUGAAAUCUGUUUUAUUUUUGUUUUCAACCUGUGCAUGGUCAAUCUCUCCUUCUCAGCUGAGAAAAGUUCUACAUGAGUUAAUAUGCAUACACACACACACACACACACACACACACAUUCAGAAUGUUAGUGUGACCAUUUAAGAAAAAAUACAAUGACAAAUUUAAGAAGAAAAUGGUUUAGUUCAUGCUCCAACUAUGUAUAUUUGAGUCCUGGAGUCAUUCAAGUUCUCUAGGAAUAGCAGACACUUUGUUAACUAGAAAAAGCCAUCCACAAGCAGAUGACUACAAUUUUGUUUUUAAUAAUGGGCUCCUUUGGAUUUCAUUAUUAAACCAACAAUCUGACCAACAUAUGGAAAACAAGCACAAUUAAUUUUCCAGAACCUCAAUUAAAAAUUACAGCUUCCCUUAUUCGAAGUUAGUGUGCGUGAUCCUGAGCCCUGGAGUAUUGUUUCUAUUUUGGAAGCUACAGAUACUAUGAUCAAAAAUUUAAAAAGGAUAAAAUAAAUUUUAAAACUGAAUAGUAAUUGAAUGUCUCAGUUUCCUGUUCUUUCAUUGAAAAUAGUUCUAUUACAUUUGGCAGUGUUACUGUCUGCCAUUAUAAAUUUUUAAGAUACCAGGCUUGUGUAAAAUAAAAUGUCAGGUUAAGAAAAUUACUCCAGACACCUGAACAGCAAGAUAUUAGAUAAAACAAAAUAAAGGUGAUUUUGAAUGUGCAACAUUUCAAGUGACUUUUCAAUCCAUUAUCACAAGCUACACUGGCCUGCUGCUUACUUAAUUCUUUUCAUCAAGUUGAUCAUUGUCUUGUAAAUAACAAAAAUACCAUUAAAAACCAAAGAGCACACAACAACCCCCAUAAACUAAAAAUAUGAAUUCACCUUGGAGAUCCCUCCAGAGUCCUUCCUAUUGUUUGAGGUCAGCAGACAACCACCUUGGGACCCACACAGUUCUCCCCUCCCACCCCACCCCAGCCCCCAAAGUUUGCAAUCCAGUAAAGAAGUUGGAGAUCUGCCAGUCAGGAAACUUGCUUUGCACCCCCUCAAGCAAGGGCUGGGGGUGGGAGGAGAUUCCUCCUAAAAGAUCUGUUUCUGGACAAUAACCCCCAGGUGCAAGAGCUGAAAGAGAGUUGAGGAGGCUAAAUUGAGUGCAGAAAGCAAGCCCUAUUGUCUUUCUGGAAGAUCUGCCCAAAUUCAACCUCGUUCCUUCAGACACCGCUCCCUCUUUCCACUCCCGCCCCUUCCUCAGCCUGCCCUCACCCCGAGUUUAAGCGGGAAUAUCGGGUAAGAGCCCCCUCGUCCCCUUGCCUACCCCUCCCUCCCCAACCCAGAAAAGUUGGGGCUGGGCUAGGGGAGAGGGAAGAGGUGGGGGCGNNNNNNNNNNNNNNNNNNNNNNNNNNNNNNNNNNNNNNNNNNNNNNNNNNNNNNNNNNNNNNNNNNNNNNNNNNNNNNNNNNNNNNNNNNNNNNNNNNNNNNNNNNNNNNNNNNNNNNNNNNNNNNNNNNNNNNNNNNNNNNNNNNNNNNNNNNNNNNNNNNNNNNNNNNNNNNNNNNNNNNNNNNNNNNNNNNNNNNNNNNNNNNNNNNNNNNNNNNNNNNNNNNNNNNNNNNNNNNNNNNNNNNNNNNNNNNNNNNNNNNNNNNNNNNNNNNNNNNNNNNNNNNNNNNNNNNNNNNNNNNNNNNNNNNNNNNNNNNNNNNNNNNNNNNNNNNNNNNNNNNNNNNNNNNNNNNNNNNNNNNNNNNNNNNNNNNNNNNNNNNNNNNNNNNNNNNNNNNNNNNNNNNNNNNNNNNNNNNNNNNNNNNNNNNNNNNNNNNNNNNNNNNNNNNNNNNNNNNNNNNNNNNNNNNNNNNNNNNNNNNNNNNNNNNNNNNNNNNNNNNNNNNNNNNNNNNNNNNCACCCCACCCACCCACCCCUCCCCCACACCCCCGCCCCCUGCCCUUCCCGAGGGCAGCAGCCGUGGCCCGGAGAUAAGCGCUAGCGCGGCGCAGGGCUCUGCCUGGGCUAGUGGCACCGACUUGGGUAUGUUUCUUAUGAAUAUUACACGCGGAGCAGCGUCUGGCUGGGGGGUGCGGUGGGGGGUACUGGGGGCGGGCGGGAGGGGAGGCCGAGGCGGCUGGGGAAGCGCGGGGCGGCGUGGGGGAUGGGGCUGAGGCGAGGGGAGGGACAGGAGCGAGAGGGGGAGCUCCGCGGCGGCGGGAGGAGGGCAGCCUCCCCCCAACCCCCAACGCCCUCCCUCUCCUCGCUUCUAGGCGUCACUAAAGUCCAGGAAAAUUAUGCUAAUGAGGACAAACGGCUCUCACAAAGGGGCUCUCUUGCCGGGCUCUAUUUCUUGGGAAUCCAUUUGAGAAACCACGUAACCCUCUGCCCUGAACACUUCCAGUUGGGGUGCAAGGGGAAAGAGAACCAUAAGGAGAGUCCCCCAGACUUUGAGCACUUUACCAAAUCUUCCACCCCCAACCUGAGAACCUCAAAGGCAAUCCUUGGGGGACAGGGAUAGGGCCUCCCUUCUCAAGAGACCUCCCCAAGAGCCAACUGGGCUGUCUUUCAUUAUAUUUUUAGGCAGAAACUCUUAAAAUCCUGGCAGCCAAGAGGGAAGUAACCUGGGGGAAAUGGACACAAGUCCAGGCAGUGAAGUGGGAAGCGCUGGGCUCAGGUACGUACUAGGGUGCCUAGAAACCUGGGUCUCCAGCUUUUCUAUGCCUACUUCAUAGUACAGACGGGCAGCUCACUCACAGGAAAAGACAGAUAAAACUCUGACCCCAACACAAACCGACAUCUGUAAUGUUUUCUUCUCUAAUUAGUGGUAUGCAGGGACACUGAGCAAAGGAAAGGCCUGGGUGUGCCCCGCAAUACUGCCACAACUUUAAGGAGGAUGGUCUUUCUCUCUUCUAAUGCCUCCCUCCACUCUCCAGCGAACUCUGCAAGGGUAUGUGUGUGGCAAAAAGAGAAAUGGAGCUUUCAUGCAAUUCCAAGGUGUCAACGGCCAGUCCUUCUCAAAGGAAGGUGUUAAAAAUAUAAGUAGUAUGUUUAAACUGUCAGGGAGCCAAAGUGUCACCUUAAAGCAAAAACAAAGCCAAGGGAAAAGGGAGAAAUCAAAAAGCACUCCUGGCCAGGGUGGCCUCAUGCAUACCAAUGGUUUUUGUCAUUUAUGGCUGGGCAAGAUUUAUGACUCGGCGCCCCAAAGCUGUAAACAGAGCACAAAACAGCAAACACUUGCUCCUUAUGGCAUAUUGCGGCAGCGCAACUUAAAAGGGGGAGCCGGGCGGCGUAGGAGGUGAGAGCCGCCGCAAAAAUCGCUCGGCUGCAUUUUCUCUUCAAACUGGCCUGGUCGGAUGUGGCAUUUGAAGAAAGAAGGCGUGGGUCAAUAAUCAACCCGCACUUUCUCCUCCAAACUGCUGACACGACUCUCACCGCCUUCUCAGCUAAGCCAGCUGCAGGGAAGGCCAGCUUUCCGUGAGAACCUGCCAGGGGAGGGGACCGCCUGGGCCAAGAGGGCCGAGGGUUCCGAGGUGAGGGCUGGGGCAUCUGGGGCGCAUACCUUUUCACCCGCACCAAGACUGUGCUGGGCAAAAUGCUGGGACUGGACUUGAAGAGCCAUGGGAGUUGAGGGAGAGCUGGGGUGGGAGCUUGGGACAGGGUCUCUGCUGGAUGGUCCCAGACUAGAUGGCUUCCGGGCAGCUGGCUGCAGUGGGCACAAAUCUGGCUCUGACCUCAAGACUGGUCUCACACCCUGGCAUGCAGACCUCCGGGUUUGGGCCUCUCUGCUGAAAUCCACAGGACUGGCUUUUAGAGCAAGGCAGGUGAUGUGAUUAAAGGUAAUAAUUUAUGAUUGCUGAAGGUUCUGUGUUACUGUUUUUUAAGAGAAAAAUACCGCCUGCCGAUUUUCACUGCCAGAAAUUGCCCACUGCUGCGGCUGCGGUGUCUUUUCUAGGCAAAUCCCGCAGCCAUUCACCCUGUUCAGCCAAAACCACUGAGGUUAUCUUUGUGGAAAGGACCCCUUUGCUCCCCCAAACCCCCCUCCUCAGUCCCUGUGCUCCCUUAUGUCUUGCCCACGGGGACUAGAAGAAAACAUUUUCCCAGUGCUAGAAAAAUAUCUGAAAUAGCGAAGGUGUGCUUGUGCCUCUCUACCCUUUGCAGGGGCCUCCUUGAGAACAGGUCUGCGGGUUGGGGGGGGGGGCGCUGGGGUCCCUGCAAGGCUGUCUAUAAGCCAGGGAGGAAGGUAAGGCACAAGAGGCACUGAAAUCUGGGAAUGGAGAGGGAAAUUAAUGAGGAAAUACACUUGCCUGUGAGGUUGAGGCUGGCAUUUUGAGGGUAAAAGGGGACUAGCCUGUUUUUUAUAGCUGUAGUUUAGCUAUUAUGGAGUGGCUUUAGCUCCUUGCGUGAAGGAAAAACCAACUGGUGCUCUAUAAACUGGACUACUGGUUUCUUUUCACUGUGCACACUUUUAUACAGAACCAGUUUGAGAGUCCAUCCCUAGAUAUUUAUUCCGCUGGCUGGCACUGAAGUGACAAUAAAAAGAUGCCUUUAACAAACCUCUAUUCCCUCUCUCAUUCUUUCUAGCGAAACUAUAUUAUUUAUGAGUCUUUAACUGGGUCAAAAAUGCGCCAGAACUGGGUCAUAAAUCAUAUGAAAUGCUGACAAGUAAUUGAACAGCAAUUAAAGCUUACAUUUUAUUUCCAAGGGGUGUUUUAGGGCACUUGAAACCGCCUCAGUUAAACACGGUUAGCGCCCGAGGACGGCAGCGGGGGAGGGUAGAAGCAGCCUUUCCCUUCUGGGGAUGUAAAUCCCUCUCUAGUAGGGGAAACCUGAUUUGAUUUUUUUUUUUCAAGUACAGAAAGAAAUAAGAUUUUUUUUUGUUUAAGUCACGGAGAAAAUCUGAUUCCCGACUCCUUGUAGACACCCCUUUCCUCCACCCCAAGAUCUCCAAGAGCAGAGAAAAGUGAAGUUUCCUUCACCGUUUCAGGGAGUUUUCAUCCUUCCCAGGAGUGCUGGGUCUCCAAAGUGCAAUUAGCACAGGCUUUCCCAGUAAUUUGCAAGCAUGGUUUAUCUCUCAUCUGCUUCUAUCCUGGCUACAGCACUGUUUCUGGGGUCUGAAGCCGGAGAAAUGUCUGCCUCUGCUUCCUGCGGACUCUGCCUCGAAUUCUCUCUAGCCCAGGGUGCACCAGCCAGUCCUUAAAACUCUGCAAGCCAGCUGGGUGCAUUACAAUGGGGCAUACAGGCCAUGCACAUUAUGAAGCCCAAACCCAGUUCUGGCUCCCGAAAUUUAGACUAACAGAGCUUCUGGGCGUCGGGCACGCUUACCCCUAUCCUAAGCCUCUCCUAGAUCUGAACUGUCUUCACCCCUACCCGGGUAGAGUCCUGGGGAAACAAUGGCGCGUCCUCCGUCCUCCGGGUCUUGCACCUUCGGUCCCGCGCGUGGGAAAGCGCGUCCUCCAACCAACCCAGCACUGAACAAAGUGGCCUGAAGCAUCAUCAAUAAAAUGGCAGCGCGUCUGCACACUCAUUGAUUUCCCUCUCCCAGCUGCUCUGGCUGCCUAGGUCAGCCCUACCUCUCCAUCCCUGGCCGCCAGCAAACGCGGCCAAGCCUGGAGAGAUUCCCCUUCCCAUCCACCCAGCCCCCACCCCCUCCAGGCCGUCUCGCCGAGCAAGCGCCGCGCGGGCCACCUCGGCCAGAGCCGCUGCUUCGGGACCCUCCCUCCGCCUGCGGCUCAGCUCCUGGGACUCAAGCCCCGCUGCAGUGGACAAAGCCGCCAGAGCGCUGGAGGCCACCGGGCUCACCUCGCAGCCCCCAAGCGCCCUUUCCUUUACAUCCCCCUACACUUUCCAGAGAAUUAAACUCAGUCUGAGGUGCUACUGGAGAUCUUUCAGAUGGUUUCGGUUCUAUGAGAGAAACAAAGGAAGAGAGGGGCUGAGGGUCCUGUCGGUGAACCAGGGUCUCCUCGCCUGACCUUUGUCUCUCACAGCCGUAACUCACUCUAAAUAUGAACAAUCGGCGGAAAUACCUUAAAAUAAAUUCCAUCCUCCUGGUGUGGCCUCGAGUCCCAUCGGCUAGCUCGCCCAGAACCGCUCCAUGAGCGCUGAAAACUGCAACCCGCUAGGAGAGCGCUCUCCGGAGAAGGGGAAGGAGAAGGAGGAGGUGGGUGCGUGGGGGUGGGGGGAAAAAGCUCUCGCUCUGUAGAGAAUCUAGAAAACGUAAUCACAGGCGAAGCCCGCCCGGGUCUCCGCUCCAAAUGCCACAAUAAUGCGCUGUAUUAUGUGCUCACGUGGUCAUACGUCAACUUAAAUCCUUUUAUUUGAAAUAGGAAAUCACUGAAGGGACUAGGUUUCCAAGCAGAACAUUCAGCUUUGGGGGAGGGGAAGUGGGGAACCUUGCCCAGCAGUGGGGAAGAGUUUCAUCUAGGGCAGUAGGACGCUGGGGGCACCCCCCCCCCAACAUGUGCCACACUGGGCCACUUAUCUCCACUUAUAUUUCUGUACAAAUGAUCCAAACAGCAAUGCUGUCCCCAUUCUCAGAGUCUAUGUAACUUUCUGUACAGUCUUCCACACGCAGACAAGCUGAAGCCUGCACACCCAAGCACGCCAGUCUCCUCUGGCCUGCUAGCCAGUACGUCAAAAGGCAAGGCCCGGGCCCUGUUUCCAGAAGAAAACCCAGUAAUGACUGGCUUAGUCAGUGGACUCCCUCAUGGCCUGCCAUUGUAUGGAGUUUGCUACCACCCACGCCAAAAGGCCCCAAAUUACCUGACAAAAGGCUAAGUUGAUUUUGUUCAAUGGGAGCCCUCUAGGGAAGAGGUGCUUGCCUCUAGAGUGGUGGGUCAGGGUUUUGCAAAAUCUGGAGGGACUCAGUGCCCUGGCUAAACCUACACUUGCGUACUUCCUCAGUGCACAGCUGAGCGAUACAUGAAAUUAUAGGCUUCUAACAAUGGAAAAUGUAAGGGGAAAUGAUCUAAUUGACUCUGUAAGAGAAAAACUAUAUAUACAACCAAUCUUUGCUGGCAUCCCUUGAAUUAACCUACAAGGUAACCUGGGACCCUUUUGCAGAUGGGUCUGUCCACCCUCCCCUAAGACAAGUCUGUCCACCAGCAGAAAAUGAACAGGACCAACUCUGCUCUGGAGCAACUGAGCUGAACCAACCCCCCCCCCCCCGGCCCUGCCCUGCUUCUACUCCUGACUUCUGCUUGGUGACACUGUCUACUGAUUGUAACACUUCACCCUCUCAGGACCUGCCUUAAAAGUUUCUCUUUUCAGGUCUUAGUUUCUGAACUUCUUAGUUUCUGAAGUGGUGGGCUCCUGGUGCCUUAUUCUUUUCUUUCUUUAGAGUGGAUCUUCAGCUGGCUAGGCCUCUCUAAGAGUGAGGACUCACUUAUAGCAGCUACAGGAUUCCUCCUCCUCCUCUUCUGCCCUGCAGGGGCCUAGUGAGAAUGUAAGGCCCUCAGUAAGGGGGCCUGGUCACGGGGGUGUCCAAAUCAGAAGGGCAAUAAAAGAGGAGGAGACCUAAUCCUUUGGAAGUGAGCCCUGGCCUACGCUGGUGGCAGUAUUCCAACAAAGUUCUGUCUGUGGUAGAGCUGGGAGAGAACCUCUCUGUGAACUGACCCAACUCUGACCUAAGCCACAAGCUGGAAAGUGAGAACCCAAAGUGCAAACCUACUUCUCUCAGGUAUGGGGUGUGGGGGAUAGAACCAAAGGCCGGUUUCCCAAAAAGCACUCUGCCGUCCCCCAAGGACUCACACAACUAACACAUUGUCCUCUGCUCCCCUUAUGCAGUCCCCCCACCCUGCCUGUGCCAAAUAUUUCACACCGAACUCUCCAGGUAGCCUAGAAAGGACCUGGAAGUAUUGCCAAAUUGCUGGCAAACUCCCAUCUCCCCCAACCAAAGUUUCUGCAGAGACUUCAACUCAAAGAUGAGAAGGGGCCCCCUUCAGAACUCUCAGAACAGUCUGGAGCAAAUCGUAACUCCGAGGCCAUAAAUCAAUGAGAGAAGUAUUUGGUACUGCUUCAGAGAAAUGCCUUAACGCCAGGAAGGCCCAGCGGCAUCUCGGCUCUAGCCAGGAGCCUCCAUUGCCGCUAUUAACAGCCCAGUUAAUGCUCCAACUGCUGUUUAACAAUUAACAUUAACGACUUGGGUUGGAAUGGGGUGAUUUGGUGGGAUGUGGAGGAAAAAAUCUGAGGAAGUCAAAAGAAAUUUAACUUUUGAGGUGAAAAUGGCUUUCCUAAGAGAGACCUUGGUCUGGGCAGGCCACCAGGGAACCAGCAGCUGAGAGUCCUCCCUCACCACUCUGAAAUCCACUCUCCUUGAACAAGGCUAUGGACCUUUUAAAGUUCAUUUCCAGAGAACGAGAAUAGAGAUACUCAAGUAUCGAAGCCCAGCCGGGAAAAUCUAGCUACCGGUCCCCCCUUCCACUCCAGCCCCCAACCUGGCCAGGGCUGGGGACACAUGCCCUGAAUCCAUUUCACCAGAGCCAAAAGUUGUCUUGGAAGGAGCAGGUGAGCAUGGAUACAGGGCUUUAGUCAAUAUUUGCAAGGCUGUUGGCAGAUUAGAUAUAUCUGUAUCCAAACACUGCAAUCUGAUUUCUCUGUCAAAAAUACACUUAACAUUUUUCUCCCUUUAGUUAGCUCUAGUGGUUUUUCUUAGUGGCUGGUAAGGCCUGCUUAGCCCACUUUUGUCUGUGUGUGUGUGCGUGUGUGUAUGUGUAUGUGUGUGUGUGUGUGUGUGUGUGUGUGUGUGUGUGUAUGUAGGUUAUAUAUCAUUAUUUAACAUGAGAUAUUUCCUGUGGGUGCAACUGCAGUACAAAUGGGCUCCAAGUUCUCUGGACACAUAUGGAUGUGUAUAUCAUUUUAUACACAUGGUCUCCAACUCCUGUGACUAUGUACACAUGCAGUGAUUCUGUUGUGUGCAGAGAUUCAAAUCAUAUGUACACAGUGAGUUGCAAAUUCCUAAAAUACUCAACCUAUAUUUGAUAAUAAAUAGACAUACAGGAGCUGAGAAAGUAACCCAGGUUUACUAUCCCCCUGUUUACCUUCUAUCUGAUAAGAUAAUAAUUGUAUCCAGAACAACAUAUCAGCCUUACAGCAUCACUGAAUAGCAUGUUGCACUUAAUUAACAACCUGAUAUCUAUUUGGGGAGCAAAUUUUAGGGAAGACUGAGGCCCGCGGAAUAGAAAACAAAAACUCAGAAAACUUUUUAAAAUAAAUAACUCCUGAAAGAACAAAGCAAACCCAUUCCUUCAUACCAAGCUUCUGAAAGCUAUUCCAACAGCCCCUCCCCCAAACAGGCACAAAAUUUAUGGAUCUUUUACAAGGUAAUAAACCACAGUAAUUACCUCCCUGCAUCCCAAACUAAGAGAACAAAUUAAGCCAGAACUUGGAAAGAAUUUUAAAGAGUCUUCCCUUGUUUCCAGUAGGAAAAGAAAACGCAGAGACCUGGGAAACGCGUGCUUUUCCCGUAGGAAAAAGAGCAGUUCCGCCCACCUAAAGGAACGGAGAAGACCCGCUGCCUGCGACGGUCUACACAUUCGAAAGGCAGCAACCUCCCUCAUGCCGCGGAAAGGCAAAAGGAUAGGAGAAACUGCAAGGCGGCGAGACAAGUUUCCUCAACGCAGAUCUGUGACUGACGACCAUUCCCGAACUCACAGUCUCCGCGGGCGCCGCAAACAGUCGAC
rnacentral:lncRNA from 1 species